rnacentral:rRNA from 1 species
GCUAAACAUGCAAGUCGAGCGGUAGAGAGAAGCUUGCUUCUCUUGAGAGCGGCGGACGGGUGAGUAAUGCCUAGGAAUCUGCCUGGUAGUGGGGGAUAACGUUCGGAAACGGACGCUAAUACCGCAUACGUCCUACGGGAGAAAGCAGGGGACCUUCGGGCCUUGCGCUAUCAGAUGAGCCUAGGUCGGAUUAGCUAGUUGGUGAGGUAAUGGCUCACCAAGGCGACGAUCCGUAACUGGUCUGAGAGGAUGAUCAGUCACACUGGAACUGAGACACGGUCCAGACUCCUACGGGAGGCAGCAGUGGGGAAUAUUGGACAAUGGGCGAAAGCCUGAUCCAGCCAUGCCGCGUGUGUGAAGAAGGUCUUCGGAUUGUAAAGCACUUUAAGUUGGGAGGAAGGGUUGUAGAUUAAUACUCUGCAAUUUUGACGUUUCCGACAGAAUAAGCACCGGCUAACUCUGUGCCAGCAGCCGCGGUAAUACAGAGGGUGCAAGCGUUAAUCGGAAUUACUGGGCGUAAAGCGCGCGUAGGUGGUUUGUUAAGUUGGAUGUGAAAUCCCCGGGCUCAACCUGGGAACUGCAUUCAAAACUGACUGACUAGAGUAUGGUAGAGGGUGGUGGAAUUUCCUGUGUAGCGGUGAAAUGCGUAGAUAUAGGAAGGAACACCAGUGGCGAAGGCGACCACCUGGACUAAUACUGACACUGAGGUGC